ensembl:lncRNA
AGUUAACAUGGUGCGUGGCCCUGCAGCUGAGGGACUGGAAACUCGGGUCCUGAAGCCAGACUGGCUGGGCUCUCUCCUGCCCCUGCCACCGCCCAGCUGUGCAACCUGGAUGAGGCUGAGGGUCUUCACCCACCCCCGCCAUCAUAUGGGGCCACUGAAAGAUGGCAUGAGGCAUCAGGGGUGGCAGCCUGGAGAGUGGAAAGCAGGCAACAAGCUUGAAAUGCUAUUGCGAUUCAUGGCUGCAAGACUCUGCCUUUGGACUCCCUGGUGGUCUGGUGGUCAAGAACCCACCUGCCAGUGCAGGAGACACGGAUUCAGUCCCUGGUACGGGAAGAUAUCACAUGCCGUGGGGAACCAAGCCCGUGUGCCACAACUCUCGAGCCUGCGCACUAGAGCCCAGGAACCACAACCACUGGGCCCAUGUGCUGUAACUACUGGAGCCCAAGUGCCCUAGAAUCCAGGCUCCGCAGCAGGAGAAGCCACUGCAGUGAGAAGCCCGUGCACUGCAACUAGAGAGUAACCCCGGCUUACCACAGCUAGACAAAGCCCACACACAGCAAAGAAGACCCAGCCCAGCCAAAAACUUGAUAUACUUUUUCAAAAAGACUUUGCCUUCCACUUAGUGGCCCGUCUUGCUCGGUUCUGGUUUGAACUGAGUAUUAUGUGACUACAGAACAGACUCCUGUGUGUUGAACCCCUCCUGUGUACCAGGCACCUUGAUGAUCUCAUUUCACCAGCACAUCAGCUCUACAGCCUGGGGAUUCCUAUGCUGGUCUCCAUUUAUCUAAGGAGGAGACUCAGAUGCAGAGAGUUUGCAUCAUUU